AUAGUUGCCAGGGAUACCUGUCUAUUAGCAAUCCCCCUUGCUAAUUGGGCAUGCAGACAGACCUACAGUGGUUGCAAUAAAGAGUUGACCUGCUAACAUAAUUAUAGGUCCCAUUAGUCUGGCGGUAUUAUAGAGGGUGACCUCCUUGGGCCCCCCCCUCCCCGGGACCAUAGAGCUACUAUCUAUGCCGGGACCACAAUCGAAAGUGUCAUUAUUCAUAACUCAAUGUGACAAACAAUACAUUGUUACACACAUCGCAUGUGCUACACAUGUACCACAAUAAUGAGUAGAGCUAUUAUAGGCUGACCAUAACUAUGUUGUCUAAUCAGACCACCAUCUCACCCACCAUAUCGCAGAAACGUGAACUGGAGACCCUCCGCUCCACUAGAGACCAAUCACAGCCCAAGGUUGCUGAGAUUGCAAAGCUGAUGACAGCGUAUAUUCGUCUGGUGGUGGUCAGAAUGAAGUGAUAAUCCAAUUCAACAGAACAUUUUUAUGCUGAUCAUAAAGUUCCCCAAAACAUGAGCUAGAUUGUCUUUAGUACGCUUUAAGUCUGCUUGGAUUCAUCCUGUACUGCCUCCUGGCUUGCUGGUACAAGAGGAGAGUUAGAGACGAGCACUAUCAUGUACAACAUGCGGAGAUUAUUUGCUGCUUGUAUGAGUUUAAAUUUUUUGUCCUCUACAUAUGCUGGCGAGUGUAUAAGUGGUGCAAUUCACCCCCAAAAUAAUACAAUGGUACUGGAAUCAAGGCCGCUCUGAGUCUGCUUGGAUUCAUCCUGUACUGCCUCCUGGCUCGAUGGUACAAGAGGAGAGUUAGAGACGAGGACUACAAUGCACACAGAGUGGUGGAGGAGGUCUAUGAUCGAUAUCUAAUAAAUCCAAGCAUCACUAACUAAGUAUAGGCAGACUAUUGUAUGGUGAAUUGUAAUUUACUCUUUUGAUGAAUUAUAAUUAUAGUCAUCAUCUCAUGCACAUGCUGUUAAGUUGUUUGCAAGCACAUUCAUAUUCAACUAUAACAAAUCCAUAAGAACUUUGUGCAAUACUGAA